UGCAUACCUUGAAACGUGGGCUCCACGUUC
rnacentral:sRNA from 1 species